UACGUAGGGGGCAAGCGUUGUCCGGAUUUAUUGGGCGUAAAGAGCGUGUAGGCGGCUUUACAGGUCCGUUGUGAAAACUCGAGGCUCAACCUCGAGAUGUCGGCGGAAACCACUUGGCUAGAGUCCGGAAGAGGAGAGUGGAAUUCCUGGUGUAGCGGUGAAAUGCGCAGAUAUCAGGAAGAACACCUAUGGCGAAGGCAGCUCUCUGGGACGGUACUGACGCUGAGACGCGAAAGCGUGGGGAGCGAACAGG
rnacentral:rRNA from 1 species